rnacentral:rRNA from 1 species
AGCGCAGACGGUUGAUUAAGUCUGAUGUGAAGGCCCGGAGCUCAACUCCGGAAUGGCAUUGGAAACUGGUUAACUUGAGUGCAGUAGAGGUAAGUGGAACUCCAUGUGUAGCGGUGGAAUGCGUAGAUAUAUGGAAGAACACCAGUGGCGAAGGCGGCUUACUGGACUGUAACUGACGUUGAGGCUCGAAAGUGUGGUAGCAAACA